rnacentral:rRNA from 1 species
GACGAACGCUGGCGGCGUGCUUAACACAUGCAAGUCGAACGGGCCCGCUCUCUUUUUUGGGGGUGGGUUGAGUGGCGAACGGGUGAGUAUCACGUGAGUAACCUGCCCCCUGCUCCUGGAUAACUGCUUGAAAGGGCGGCUAAUACGGGGUGUGCCGGCUGGUCCGCAUGGGCCUGGUCGGGAUAGUUUCAUCUUCGGGUGUUUCGGUGGGGGAUGGGCUCGCGGCCUAUCAGCUUGUUGGGGGGGUGAUGGCCCACCAAGGCGGUGACGGGUAGCCGGCCUGAGAGGGUGGGCGGCCACACUGGGACUGAGACACGGCCCAGACUCCGGCGGGAGGCAGCAGUGGGGGGUAUUGCACAAUGGGCGGAAGCCUGAUGCAGCGACGUCGCGUGAGGGAUGGAGGCCUUCGGGUUGUGAACCUCUUUCUCCGGUGGUGAAGGCCCUGUCCGUUGCGGCGGGGUUGACGGUAGCCGGGUAUGAAGCGCCGGCUAACUACGUG